rnacentral:lncRNA from 1 species
AUGCUUCCCGGGGCUGGGAGAAUGUGGGAGGGCUGGGGAUCGGGGCAGGGGAGCAGGAUGCCACCCCUCUUCCUGCUCCAUCCCUGCCGGGUGCCUGGGCCGUGCGGGUGCGGGUCCCCCGGCCCGGGCAGGGGGUCCCUGAGGCGGGGGGGGGGGGGGGGGGGGGGGGGGGGGGGGGGGGGGGGGGGGGGGGGGGGGGGGGGGGGGGGGGGGGGGGGGGGGGGGGGGGGGGGGGGGGGGGCCGCCGCUGUCUCCCUGGCUCGGCGGCUCCGCAUCCCGCUCUCCUGUUGCUCAGAGAUGUGGAGGCAGUUGCUAAGAGACACCGACACGUCAGUAUCUGGCCCUAAGGAAAAAAAGAGGAAAAAAAAAAGAGACAGAGAAAGAGAGAGACAAGGGAGGACGAGGAGGAGGAGGGGAGGAAGGAGGUGGGGAAAGACCUGCUCCCAUCGCCAGGCUCGCAGCAGCCUUGGCCGCCGCUGCCGAAGGGGGGGGGGGGGGGGGGGGGGGGGGGGGGGGGGGGGGGGGGGGGGGGGGGGGGGGGGGGGGGGGGGGGGGGGGGGGGGGGGGGGGGGGGGGGGGGGGGGGCGGCCUCCGGGGUGCGGGAGGCCGCCGGGGAGCCCCCAUCACCGUCCGGAGCGCCCCAAGUCGCCACUCAGGACCCCCCACAUCACCGCAGGGAGCCAGGCCCUGCUCCCUCCCUGGCCAGUGAGUACCCCGGGGCACCCCGGCCUCGCCGGAGGGGUCGGGGCGCUGCGGGGAUGGGGCGUGACCGGGGUAAGGUGGGGCGGUGGGAGAGGAUGGAGCUGGGGCGUGCGGGCGAGGGAGGAUGGAGCAGACACGGUCAGGUGGUGGGGGGCGAGGGCAGGCCUGGGGGGACCCCGCUGGGUGCUGGGAAUGGGGAUCUUCCCCCGGGAGAGAGGCGGGGAGGGUGUCCCCGGCCCCGGGCUCAGCUCCUGGUGGCGGGCGGCUGGCGGGGGCUGGCGGGGGGGGGGGGGGGGGGGGGGGGGGGGGGGGGGGGGGGGGGGGGGGGGGGGGGGGGGGGGGGGGGGGGGGGGGGGGGGGGGGGGGGGG